AAGCAUAUAAUGUAUCCAUUAAUGAACUAUAGUCGAAUUAAUGAGAAACAGUUGACCAGUUGACAAAUCAUAAAAAGUGACAUCCUGAAAUCUUAGUUAAGAGGUAAAAUUAAAUAUGAAUGGAUAUUACACUUUUAAACUGAAAUAUUUUGGAUGUGCACUAUGUUUAUGUAUAGUAAUAUAUUCUUAGAUUGAUACAGGGUGUUGAUAACCAUGUUAGUGAUGUUGCUGUUAAGGCUGUUUCAGUUUAUAACAUAAAGUUACAUGUAUACAGAAGUGUGAAGAAAAAAGCUUUUGUUGUCCAUACAAUACAAUUGUUUGUGGUUUUUUUUAACAGCUGAACUCAGUAUGCCGGGGAAUAGAAAACGGAAAAAAACGCACCGAAGUCCUGCCAAUGACGACAGUACUAGUAGAACUAGUGAGCCAAUCAAAGAGGGAGAUUUUGUCCUAAUGGACAAAAUCUGGCCUGUUAAAGUCAGGAGAAUUGACUCCAGCUGUGUUACUGUAUACAGCAAAUCUGACAAUGCCUUAACUCCAAGCCUGUGCCAAUUCUUGUACCAGAGGAUGUUGUUGCUGUCCUGGAAUACAUUGUAUCAGCAAAUGUUAGAAGAAAUGCUGGUGUGAAGACGUGGAACAAAUACGUUUUUGCAAACGCAAUCUGAGGUGAAGGUGUCUUCAGGGCAUAUGACUCGCUGAAGACAGUAUGUAGUGAGAUAUCGUUAUCAGCACCUGAGAGAAUUACUAGUGUUUCCAUGCGGAAGUAUAUUGCCACACUCAG